rnacentral:rRNA from 1 species
AUGCCACCAGUUCUGGAGAGUGAUAUGCAUAGCAGGGAAUAUCUUGCGGAACAGAAACGCAAGGGUGAGGCAUAUUUGAAGGAAAGGAAUGCAAGGAUUGCGGAACGCAAGGCUGCGGAGCAGGAGUCUCUUAAAGACAUACAAAGCAUAGCUCGUAGCCUUGUAUACUCCAGUGCUCCUAAUGCGCAACUGACACAAAAGGCACAAGGUGCUGAUGAUUGCAGUGACUCAGAGUAUGACCGAGAUGCUGAAGAGGAGGCCUAUGUAGAGGAAGAGGAUUUGAGAGAUGAAGAGGAGGUCGCUCUUGCUAAGUCCAAAGCAAUGAAAAAAGACAAGUACAAUAAUCAUGAUCCAAGUCCCAUUGAGUUUUUCAAAGAUACCCAUACAAACAGCAAGACUGAUAGCAUGAGCUGA